ensembl:lncRNA
CACCCCCACAACCCACACAGAUCCACACUGAAGCAUGCUUUCUAAUCCCACAGAAUCUAAAUGAUCUUGCCAAACCAAGAAAUUUUGAUAUUGAGUUAAAAAUUGAAGCAUAAAGAAGAAAACUGAUAAUUCCAAGCAAGAACGACAUACUAUUUUUUACAACUGAAUAGUAAUGAAAAGCUAAGAAAGCAAAUUAAAAAUCUCACACCAGAAAUCUUUUUUUUUUUUUCAUACUGAGGAUCGAACUCAGGACCUUGCGCUUGCAAGCAGGCAUGGCAGAAAUCUUCAUUAAGGAAAGAAGUCAGAGGAACAUGGAAAGAUGGGACAAAGUUUGUGAAGAGAUUCAAAGGUUCUACCAGGUUCUUCUUCAAAACAACUGGUCACAGAGAAAAAAAAAUCAAGUAAUUUGGUCAUGGGCUAUAUAUACAUAAUUUCAAAGAAUAAUCAAUAAAUUCUUUCUGAGGAUCAUGACAAGAUAUUCCAAAACACUCCAAGAUACUCCAAGAUGCUCAAGAUACUCCAAAGGCCCUGCAAGCUCUACUCAAGACAUCAAAUAAGCUGAGUCCUGAUAGAGACCUGUGGAGUUUGCAUCCAAAUCUUGCGUUUUUUCUAUUUUGCUCCAACUUCUCUGACUCACACUGUGGACUUCUCUAUCUCUGAUCCCAAAAC